UCCCGCAACGAGCGCAACCCUUAUCCUUUGUUGCCAGCGGUUCGGCCGGGAACUCAAAGGAGACUGCCAGUGAUAAACUGGAGGAAGGUGGGGAUGACGUCAAGUCAUCAUGGCCCUUACGAGUAGGGCUACACACGUGCUACAAUGGCGUAUACAAAGAGAAGCGACCUCGCGAGAGCAAGCGGACCUCAUAAAGUACGUCGUAGUCCGGAUUGGAGUCUGCAACUCGACUCCAUGAAGUCGGAAUCGCUAGUAAUCGUAGAUCAGAAUGCUACGGUGAAUACGUUCCCGGGCCUUGUACACACCGCCCGUCACACCAUGGGAGUGGGUUGCAAAAGAAGUAGGUAGCUUAACCUUCGGGAGGGCGCUACCACUUUU
rnacentral:rRNA from 1 species